rnacentral:rRNA from 1 species
GCUUAACACAUGCAAGUCGAGCGGAGAGAGGUAGCUUGCUACUGAUCUUAGCGGCGGACGGGUGAGUAAUGCUUAGGAAUCUGCCUAUUAGUGGGGGACAACAUUUCGAAAGGAAUGCUAAUACCGCAUACGUCCUACGGGAGAAAGCAGGGGAUCUUCGGACCUUGCGCUAAUAGAUGAGCCUAAGUCGGAUUAGCUAGUUGGUGGGGUAAAGGCCUACCAAGGCGACGAUCUGUAGCGGGUCUGAGAGGAUGAUCCGCCACACUGGGACUGAGACACGGCCCANACUCCUACNGGAGGCAGCAGUGGGGAAUAUUGGACAAUGGGCGCAAGCCUGAUCCAGCCAUGCCGCGUGUGUGAAGAAGGCCUUAUGGUUGUAAAGCACUUUAAGCGAGGAGGAGGCUACUUUAGUUAAUACCUAGAGAUAGUGGACGUUACUCGCAGAAUAAGCACCGGCUAACUCUGUGCCAGCAGCCGCGGUAAUACAGAGGGUGCAAGCGUUAAUCGGAUUUACUGGGCGUAAAGCGCGCGUAGGCGGCUAAUUAAGUCAAAUGUGAAAUCCCCGAGCUUAACUUGGGAAUUGCAUUCGAUACUGGUUAGCUAGAGUGUGGGAGAGGAUGGUAGAAUUCCAGGUGUAGCG